rnacentral:tRNA from 3 species
GCGGCUGUGGUGUAAUUGGUAGCCACGUCAGACUUAGGAUCUGAUGCCGCGAGGCGUGGGGGUUCGAGUCCCUUCAGCCGCACAA